AGAGUUUGAUCAUGGCUCAGAACGAACGCUGGCGGCAGGCCUAACACAUGCAAGUCGAGCGCUGUAGCAAUACAGAGCGGCGCACGGGAGAGUAAUACAUGGGAACCUACCUUUUGGUUCGGAAUAACGUCGGGAAACUGACGCUAAUACCGGAUAAGCCCUACGGGGGAAAGUUUUUCGCCGAUAGAUGGGCCCAUGUUGGAUUAGCUAGUUGGUGAGGUAACGGCUCACCAAGGCAACGAUCCAUAGCGGGUCUGAGAGGAUGAUCCGCCUCACUGGGACUGAGACACGGCCCAGACUCCUACGGGAGGCAGCAGUGGGGAAUAUUGGACAAUGGGGGCAACCCUGAUCCAGCCAUGCCGCGUGAGUGAUGAAGGCCUUCGGGUUGUAAAGCUCUUUUGCAGGGGACGAUGAUGACGGUACCCUGAGAAUAAGCCCCGGCUAACUUCGUGCCAGCAGCCGCGGUAAUACGAAGGGGGCUAGCGUUGUUCGGAAUUACUGGGCGUAAAGGGCGCGUAGGCGGCUUGGCAAGUUGGAUGUGAAAGCCCAGGGCUCAACCCUGGAAUUGCAUUCAAGACUGCUUUGCGUGAAUUCGGUAGAGGUUGGUGGAAUUCCCAGUGUAGAGGUGAAAUUCGUAGAGAUUGGGAAGAACACCCGUGGCGAAGGCGGCCAACUGGACCGACAUUGACGCUGAGGCGCGAAAGCGUGGGGAUCAAACAGGAUUAGAUACCCUAGUAGUCC
rnacentral:rRNA from 1 species